AGUUGGUCCGAGUAUGGUGGGUUAUCGCCGUUCGCACUUUACGAAUCAAUAGUUCCCACUUACAGAUUUGACUAACGUUUU
ensembl:Y_RNA Y_RNA Y RNA